rnacentral:rRNA from 1 species
AUUGAACGCUGGCGGCAUGCCUAACACAUGCAAGUCGAACGGCAGCGCGGACUUCGGUCUGGCGGCGAGUGGCGGACGGGUGAGGAAUGCAUCGGAAUCUGCCCCGACGUGGGGGAUAACUUGGGGAAACUCAAGCUAAUACCGCAUACGUCCUACGGGAGAAAGCAGGGGACCUUCGGGCCUUGCGCGGCGGGAUGAGCCGAUGCCGGAUUAGCUUGUUGGUGGGGUAAAGGCCCACCAAGGCGACGAUCCGUAGCUGGUCCGAGAGGAUGAUCAGCCACACCGGGACUGAGACACGGCCCGGACUCCUACGGGAGGCAGCAGUGGGGAAUAUUGGACAAUGGGGGCAACCCUGAUCCAGCAAUGCCGCGUGUGUGAAGAAGGCCUUCGGGUUGUAAAGCACUUUUAUCAGGAAAGAAAUCCCACGGGUUAAUACCCUGUGGGGAUGACGGUACCUGAGGAAUAAGCACCGGCUAACUUCGUGCCAGCCGCCGCCGUAAAAC